UCUAUGUCAGAAGAGGCCUAUCUCAUCACGUUUGUGUUGUCAUUUUGCUCUUUUUUUAUUUUUCCUCCACAAUAAUGUAUUAUUUAUGGGGUCUCCAGUUUGUCACCGUGUCUAUGCGGUUGCCUUCUGGGGAUAUUGGCAUGUUACCCCCAGGAGGGUCUCAGGCGUAGAGUCUAAGGUCUGAUAAUGUCACAUGGAUGGAAAUCAUUUGGGGUGGUGCAUGGAUUUAAUGAUGAUUUUUGGUAAGGGGUAGAAAGUAUUCCUUUUUUUUUGAAAAAAAUUUUGUAAUUAGUCCACGAAACAUCAUGAAAAAUUGGUUUUCUUUGAGUUUCUGGUUUAUUGCUGCAGGGUGGCGGGGGAAGGGGAGUUCUUAGGGUAGCGGUUGCCACAGAUUGUAAAACAGUUGAAUAUUCUUUAUAUAAUGUGGUUUAAUGAAGAGGC
rnacentral:misc_RNA from 1 species